rnacentral:sRNA from 2 species
UCGCGUAAAGCGCCGUAGGCAGGAGCGGGGGACCCAAGGUUAGGCGCCGGACCCGGCCGUCGAGAGACGGCCGCCGACCGGCUCGGGGUGUAGCCACCUGCCGUCACGCGGCAGGUGGCCGGGCAACUCACUUGGCCCGAACCCGACAGCUGACCUCGUAGGCGUCGGUGAGGAGAUGC